ACUUCAUACUUUUCAGACCACCAAACAAACAGACCCUUGAAUACUUUCAAUGUUGGUUGGGGUUAUGGCUGCCAGGAUGUUUUCCCAGCCUCUGGCACCCAAUGGCUCCAGACUGUGCCGAGAAAGUUUUUGUUGUUGUUAUUUUGUUUUGUUUUUAUUUUUAUGAAUGGCUUUGGUAGAAAACGCAGACUGAAGCAUAAUACUACCACCAUUCAUAAAAAGGGAAAGGAAACAAACUGCUGUCUGGAAAGCUUUUUGGACGCCAAACAAACUGGAAACCAAGGCAUAGGGAAUUUAAAUAAUCGUCUGAGAUCUUUUUCUAAAACCAAAACAACCCGAGUCUACUGAUUCUCUUAAUCCCUGAUAUAAUGCUCUGAAGAAACCCAGUCUGUUCCUUGAAAAAAAGAAAAAAGAAAAAAGUCAAAUCGAGAUCCAAUCCAGGAGAAGCUGUACUUCCCGGCUUUGAUUUUCAUCUCCAGAUUGUUCAGCAGGGCCUAGUUCUGAUUCCUCCAGGUUGCUGAUGAAAAGUGAAUCGCAGGGGACAAGAGUCAGACCUGCAAAGUCCAGCUGCCUCACCUCACUUGGAGAUUCUUCCUUCAUUAUCAGUUGUGGAGGGGCUGAGUCCCUCUUAAAGGUGUGUACAUCAUAAUGACUGUUCAGUGAACAGAUAGCAAAGCCUUUCAAGUUGUUUAGACAAAUCUGAUGAUCCAAUUCUAAGUGUGCACAUAGGGAGUUUAUACAGUUUAGGCACUUGGUCAACUUGGCAUGCAAACCCUUCAAUGCACUGAGAUUUUGAGUUCAUUAUGUUGAGACUAUUGCACCUUUCAAAAAGCUUGUAAUGAAAAUCCUCAUUCCAUGGUUGCAUUGAAACUUCUAAAAUACAAUGGGGUGAAAGAGAGCUUCCUCCCAGAACAAAACAUCAAUAGCAGCAUUGACAAAAUCACCAAAGGACUUUGAAGAAAUUUUUUGGAUUAACAGAUGUUAAAACGAAACUGUGGCCGGGUGUGGUGGCUCAUGCCGGUAAUCUCAGCACUUUGAGAGGAUUGUUUGAGCUCACGAGUUCGAGACCAGCUUGGGCAACCUAGCAAGACUUCAUCUCUAUUAAAAAUAAUUAGCCAGGUAUAGUGGCGCAUGCCUGUACUCCCAGCUACUCGGGAGACUGAGGUGGGAGGAUUGCUUGAGCCUAGGAGGUUAUGGCUGCAGUAAGCUAUGAUCACACCAUUGCACUCCCGCCUGGGUGACGGAGCAAGACUCUGCCUCAAAAAAAAAAAAAAGUGGUGAGAAUUCAAAGACCCCAUGAGUUGAACAUACCACGUGAAGCUUAAAAGGGCUCUUUCUAACCACAUGGAUUUCAACGCAACAACUACAGUAUCUUCAGGAUGCAAAGCCAUACAGGCGCUGUCAGUUCCCUUCUACUGGGGGGCAAGAAAACCUCCCUUUGAGCUGUGGUGACAGGGUUACAUGGGAGGGUUUGGUUGCUCUUCAGUUCAGAAGCCAUCACUGCCAGCACCUGCAACUUGCUGCUCUGCACCUUCUGCUCUGACCACUGGUGAGAGAAGUCACUCCUUCCUUCUCUUGCUCUUAAGAUCCCUCUUAAGUCCUGCAGGGUAACACCUGCUUGGCUGCCACAGAGGUGUCUGGGUCUCCUGGUGCCUUUAUGGAUACUCACCACUCAUGCAGGGUCUUCAGGGAGAAGAUGAAGAAAUCAACAGCCAGCAGCAUGAAGAAUGCCAGCCUCUAGGUUGAGUGAUUUCAUUCACAGUUCCUCAACCUAUGUGCAAAUCACUUUCAAGUGAGGAACUUCUAUUCAUGUGAACAAAUGUAAGCAUCAGAACAAAAGUGCCUCAGUUCUGCUCAUCACAAACAGAUGACAUUUGUGGGUGUACCAACAGCCUUUAUAGAGAAAAUGGAGGUAUGAUUUGGUAGAAAACAUAGAGGCCAAGGCUCUCAGGAAGACAGAUUUUGCAUUCUCUGGUUAUAGCCACAACAUAUUAGAUAGUAAAAUCACAGGAAUGUCGUUGAACAAGUGGGCUGGGGUAUAAAAGGAACCAUUCUACAGCAUGAAUUCCAGUAUUCUCCUAAUGAAAAGGAAAAAGACCAAAGCAUAAAAGUAUGCUGAUGUUAUUAGAGAAUAUGGUCAUUGCUACACAACUGGAAAAAGUGAGCAUGGGAAAAUGUCACUGGAUCCAGGCAAUACUGGUUUUAUCCCCCCAGCCCCUGUAUUUUAUCAAUGGUUGCACAGUGCCACUGUUGAAAAUCUGUAUAAAUUCACAAUUACUCCAAUUAUAUGGAAUAAUAUCUCGCAAUGUAGCCAUUUAAAUCUGAAUUAAAGCACUUAGAAUGUAUUUUCUUUAAGUGGCUCUUUUUGAAAAGAUGUGAGAAUUCCCUAUUCUUUGAGGGCUACUGUUCAGUGAAUAUACAAACACAUGUAAACUUUUUCUGCUACUGCAAGCUGAGGCAGAAGAGAAGGUAGGAUAUAGUUGAUAUAGGAGUUUACAGAAGAGUUCUGUGGCUUUUUCUGAGAACUCAUAUCUGGGCAUACUCUGUCCCAGGGCAGUUCUAUAUUAGUGAUAAAAUUGGUCUACGUUGGCAUUGCUUUCUUCACUCUAUUAUGGUGUUUGUUCAUGGCCCUAUGGGUUCAAACAAAUUAAGGACAGGUUAACUCUUCUUACAAAUGGUUAAUAAUCAUUUAGUGAUUAGGGAAAAAUUGUCACUGUUGCUUACUCCUUAUAGAGUGCAUACCAGUGUUUAAAAAGAUAAAGACAUUUUUGAUGGAUACCUCCCACUAUCUUUUAUAUUUAUUCUUUCAGUCAACCAUAAUUUCAGAAUAACAGACUUACCUAUGCAUAGCUACUGAGGAAGCAAGGUAUAGUUUGGUAAAUUUUUUAAAUAAUCUUUUUAUCCUUUAGCAUUAAUUACCUCAUUCACUGAAUGCAUCAUUCUGUAUACAAAAUGUUAUUACAAAGUGGAUUUCAUAAGAAAUGCAAUCUAUUUUGCAGACUAUAGUGAUUGUUUACACAGGAUAAAUUAAAGGGGUGCUUUGCAACAUCGCUUAUGCUUAAAGGACAAAAUAUUAAGGAGGUUUAAAGAAAACUUACAGCUUAGUUUUGUGUCUGGUCAGGUAUAUGUAAUUUUUAGUACAAUAAUAAAAAACAAACUUUCAUGGAGUUCUGCAAAGGUCUUUCCUGUAUAUCAGCAUGUAUAUGAAGAGACCAUGUUUACGAAGCACGGAAUCGUCCCCAGGUUACUCUUGGCAGCUGAUAAUGAAUGAAGGAAACAUUUCAAACCUAUGCUAGUCUACCUCCAAAGGCCCUACUUUAUCUUCAAAUUAUACUAGAUAGGAGUGUAAUCAUGAUAAAGAAUUCGUAAGAAUGCAGUUCAUCCCCUAAAUAUCCUAGCUGAACUUCUCAAAGUGAUAAGGAAUGCUCCUCUGUCACAGCCCAAGAAUAAACUUAGCAUAUAUAGGACAGAGGUGUGGGAAAGAAAAAACAAGUUGGUGUCUGUGGUAUGUGCCCAAGAUGCCAAAAUCACUGAUGUUUUGAAUGGCAGUGGCAAGAACAACCUCAUUGGCUAUAGUCAUUGCAAUAAUUGUUUUUUAUAAAGUGAGGACAUCCUUUUGAAAGAUGGCUGCUUUAGAUUUUGCCUUGAACACAAAUUUUGUAGACAGUAGACCUGUCACAAUGCCCAGAGAGUCCUGUUGCUGCACAGUUUCCCUCCAAUUUCUAGAGAAAGUGGCCAAUGAUUAAAAAUUUAAAAAAGCACUCUCAUAUCUGUAGUACUAUUCAAGGAGGGACAGGGCAUUACUGCCUGGUGGUAAAUACAUUCCACACUAUUUAUCACCAAAUAGCUCUAUCUGUCAUGGUACUGUGACUGGUCCUACACCCAAAUUAAGGUUUAUAGAAUUGAAACUAUCCUUUUAACUAUCCAUUGAACUUGUUUAUUCAUUUAUUUUUUUCAUUUAUUCAACAUACAUUCAUUGAGUGCCUUCUAUACACCAAGCACCAGGGUGGGUACAUAGUUCCUGGCAUAUAGCCAGCAUUCAAGAAAUGAGAAAGGAAGAAAGAAUGAAAGAAUAUGAUCUUUGCCACUUGACAAGUCUAGUGAUGCUUAUGUUAACAAUCAAACAUUAUCAAGAGAAACAUAAAAUUACAGUGAAUUCAUAAAUGUAGUUUGAGACACACAUAUCAUGCACAUUGGCUGAAUUUGCAUAUACAACCACAUUAACAAAAUUUGAAGUUAAAAUUUGAAGGCAAUAACUCAACUAUCUGGAAAAUUAAUAUCCCCUGAGAUUCCAAGAUUAGAUGAGCAUUUACAGUACCCAGUUUUGACUCCAGCUCUCACUUCCCUCUUCCUUCUGGGAAGAAGAGGUGCAAUGACAAUUAAUGUGAACCUUACAUGAAGUAUAACUAUCUUGUUUUAUACUUCUUAGAAUGAAAAUGCAGAUUUCUCGUGCUCGAAAACCUGGACAUUGAAGCCAAAUAUAUGCUAUGGAAAAAUUAAAGAAUGAAGGUAACCGGAUUAUCCAAGUUUACAUAGCUUACACUACUCAAAUUUAUUUUAUUUUUUUGAGAGACAGGGUCUUGCUCUAUCGCCCAGGCUGGAGUGCAGGGGCAUGAUCAUAGAGCUGCCUGUAGCCUCGAACUCCUAGGCUUAAGUGAUCCUCUUGUCUCAGCCUCCUGUCAAGUUUAAACUAUUCAAACAAACCUUCAUUUCUUGGGUUUGGUAAAUAUUUCAGUCCUGCAUUGACUGUGUCGUUCUGGCGCCCAUCCACUAAUAGAUCCAUGCACUUAGAGGUUUUAGAGGAGAAAGGGACAUAGAUGCCUAAUCAGCAAUUUGUAUGCUAAAAAUACCGUGUACAUUUGGACACAUCUGGAUAUAUUGAUACGCACACAAACACACACACACACACACACACACACACACACACACACAAACAUCUAUAAACUUAGCUCCUGGGUUCCAUUCUUGUUGCCCUUGAUAAGUAGAGCAGUUAUAAGUAUAUAAAGGAUAUUUAUGUGUGUGAAAAUCUCUUAAGUCUUUCAACAUUUGAUUGCUUUACAUAGUUGUGAGAUGAUGGUUUCGGGAGGGGGUAAAGAAGGAAGUUCCAAAAUGUGAAUGGUAUUUAAAUCUCUUAAAUUUUUUUCUUCAAAGGAAGAGAAAAAGAAUGAAAUUAUGUUUUCCCUCUUCAACAAGAUGGCUUGCAGAAUGGCUGUGGGCAGAAAAAUAACUUAAAAGAAUAUAAAGACCCAGUGACUUGAGUCCCUUUCAUGAAAUAUGUGGGUUAAAAAAAAUCCAAUAACCAUAAAACAACCUUUUCUUUGAUGCUGAACAAAAAACAAGCUUGAAAUUUAGUGCUGCUGAGCAAAUGAAUGAAAAAUACAGAUGUCUUUUACCUUCAGCUCAACGCAGAUUUGCCAUCUGAACAGCUCCAUGCUUAAUUUAACUCUUUGUAUGACUGAUCAUAUCAAAGCAUUUAGUUAACAGCAAAGGUUUAAAUUGAAACUUAAAAAUAUACAUUUUUUCCUUCCUUUUUUCCUGUCUUAGUGAAUUAGAAAGUUCAGCUGCACCAUAUCCCUUUUCUUGUCCUCCCUGAAUUACAAAACUUUAACACAUAAAAGCAAAAUAUGUAUGUCUUUUCCUGGUAUCGUAAUCUAGUCUGAUUUUAAAAAUUAAGAUAUCGAUUGUUUUAUUUAAAAUGUAGGACCUUGAUGCUAUUUUAAUUUUCCAAAGUCAGCUCGUAAUACCAAUUUCCCCAAAGGUCAAAAACAAUAUAUUAAGGAAAUACCACCUGCUACUUAGAGCUUGCACAGGAAAUUUGCAUUUCCACUUUGUAAUGCAUUAUUUAGGGGGAGGAAAUGACAGCCUGCUUCAUUAUCCCAAGGCGCAGAAUCCCAAUAGCUGCAAAGCAGCAGACAAAAAGCAAAAGAGGCCGGUGUCCAUUUUCCCACCAAAUAUCAUGGAAAUUACAAAUUCAGUAGGAGAAGCCAAAAAGCAUGUGUUGAAAAAUGCCAAGCUCCCCGCAAACUCUCUCUUCUGUCCCCAUGAAAGCCAGGCUUGCCUGCCAGCCCACUUGAGUUGGGCUAGUUCCACAGAGGGGCAGGUACGGGCCCUGGGCACAUUUUUCAAUCUUUUGUAAAUAGUCCCUGAAGGAUUAAGGUGGUGGUCAUGGCCGUACCCUUUAACCUGCCUCAAAGAGUGAGGGAGAGCUCAUGGAGCUUGCCUGUCCAAAGUUCAAUAGACCCUUUCUAAAGUUUUAUUUACACACCAAACAAGGUUGAAGAUAGAUUACUUCCUACUGUCUAGCUCACAGGAAAGAAGCAUUCUGUUCAGAUAUAAUAUAUACAUUAAGAAACAAAGGAGUUGCUAAAAGCUUCUCCUCUUGUAAGCAUUCAACUAUACUGGGGCUUACAAUAUAUUCUACUCUGAAAUAGGCAGCUUUUCUUGAGUGUAUCAUCUCUGUCCUCUUUCUUCUCAUCUUUUUCUAUCUUUCAUGGUUUCCCCCCUCUACAGUUCUUACUUCUGUAUAUAAAAACCUCUAUUCCUCGCCACAUAUCCCAUACUUAAUAUGUGUGACUAUUAAAGCCAUCUGUCUUGACACAUUACAAAAAUGCAUUCAACUUAUCAGUGAUUUUAUCUCGGUAAGGGCAAACAACCAGUUUAUCCAAUUGUUUUUCCCCAGUGAGUCAACUGAAUAUCCUCUUUAAAAUGAGGUAUUUUCAGUUGAAUUUAGUUUAAAAUUGAGUAGAAAUGAGCAUUCACCAAAGUGUUUCGUGUAAGGUGCUUCCUGUGCUUGAAGAGUUGGUGUAAGGUUUUGUCAUCUACCUGUGUAAAUUAGCUCCUUAAAUAUACAUCUCUUUAUAGAUGAGAUCACCUCUCAAGUGCCCUUCUAGCUUAAGAAUUCUGGGAUUCGGGGUUUAGGGAUAGGUCUUCUGCAAUCUAAACACUCCCUUUUUAAAUUUGCAGAUUUCUAAAAUAUAUAUAUGAUAUAUAUUACAUAUAUACAUACAUAUGUAUGUAUAUAAAUAUCUAAUACAUAUAUACAUAGGUCUCUUUAGACAUAUCAAGUCGAUACUUUUUUUUCAAUUUUUUAAAACAAGUAAGUGUUUAAAAUUAGGAUUACUUCCUUUUAUCUUCAAAGAGGAAAGGUUUUUACAUUUUAUAGUCAUAAUGCACUAAGAACAAACAAAACAAAACUCCGCUUUAAAAAUCAAGUAUGGGAAGGCUGCAACACUGAACUAUAGAGUAUGGAAAACAUGAGGAAGUCUUGUUACUCAGAGAAAUGGUUUGACAAACUUUGGCCAGAGAACAGUCCUCAGUAUUUAUGUAGGAAGGAGUUUUGAGAACAGAGAAAUGUAGAACUUGUCUGCACAGUAUCCAAACACCUAUACAAAAACUUGGCCACUUCUCUGAAUAUUUUAAUUGCGAUUCUAAAAGUUUGCUGUGCAUAGACCAAUUCUUAAAAUGGUAAGAAGGUUAGAAAAAAGGAAAUCCCAAAGUAAGAUACAUACAUACAUACAUACAUACAUGCAUAUAUACAGUACACUACAUAUAUAAAUAUAUAUGUACUCUUUGUCUUUGCAUCCUUUAUAUAUGUGUAAUCUUUAUACGGAUAUAAAUACAGCCAUGCACCACAUAAUGACGUUUCACUCAACAAUGAACUGCAUAUAUGGUGGUGGUCCCAGAAGAUUAUAAUGGAGUUGAAAAAUUCCUAUUGCCUACUGACAUUUUGAUCAUCCACACCCUAUGUGUGCCUAGGCAAAUGUGUGUGCUAUGUCUUAGUUGUUAGCCAAAAAGUUUGAAAAUUAAAAAAAAUUAAAAUUUUCAAAAUAGAGAAAAGCUUAUAAAGAUAUAAAGAAAAAUAUUUCUGUACAGCUACAUAAUGUGUUUGUGUUUUAAGUGAAGUUUUAUUACAAAGAGUAAAAAAGUUAAAAAAAUUUAAAGGUUAUAAAGUAAAAAAGUUACAGUAAGCUAAGGUUAAUUUAUUAUUGAAGAAAGAAAAAUAUUUUUUAUAAAUUUAGUGUAGCCCAAGUGUACUGUGUUUACAAAGUCUGCAUAGUGUACAGUAAUGUUCUAGGCUGUCACAUUCACUCACCACUCACUCACUGACUCACCCAGAGCAACCACAACUUCCAGUCUGGCAAUUUCCAUCCAUGGUAAGUGCCCUAUACAGGUGUACCAUUUUAAAAUCUUUUAUGCUGUAUUUUUACUGUACCUUUUCUAUGUUUAGAUAUGUUUUGAUACACAAAUACUUACUAUUGUGUUACAAUUGCCUACAGUUUCAGUACAGUAACAUGCUGUACAGGUUUGUAGCUUAGGAGCAAUGGGAUGCACCAUUUAGCCUAGAUGUGCAGUAGGCUGUACUAUCUAGGUUUGUGUAAAUACACUCUUUGAUGCUAACACAACAAUGAAAUUGCCUAAAGAUGCAUUUCUCAGAAUGUACCCCUAUUGUUAAGCAAUGUAUGAUUGAAUAUAUAUCUUUAUAAAAUAUAUAAUAUAUACACAUAUAUACAUACAUACAUAUAUAUAUAUAUAUACUCACAUACAUAUUUUGGGUGACAGAAAUAUGUAUGUAUAUACAUACAUAUAUACAUACAUAUUUUAUAUAUACAUACAUAUAUAAAAAAUAUAUAUACACACACACACACACACACAGAUACAAAGAGAGAGAGAGACAGAGAGAAAGAGACAGACCAAUAAGCCUUUAUUUUCUAUGAGGACAGGUAUUUGUAUUACCUGAGGACAAGAGAAGUUUGUAUUAAUCCAGUAAAGAUAUUUGGAUAGCCGAAAAUACAAUUAGCUGUAAAUCAGGGUUCUGGUUUCUAACCCAUUUCCUGCUUCUAAUAAUUAGCUACAAGAUCUUGGGCAAGUCUCUGGAACUUGCUAGGUUUCCAUUUCUCCAUCUCAAAUGGAGAUCACUGUGAUAAUUUGUGAUUUUAUAAAACGUAAAGAAGAGUUUGUCCCUGUCUUCCUCAAAACUGAACUAAUUACCAAUUUUCUAUCACACAGCCACUUAAAAGUGAAGAACUGUCUUUUCCAGUGUGGUUUUUAUAUUUGGCAGCAAAACCAAACAUCUAGUGGAGGCAGAAUAUGGAAUCAAAAGGCACACGUAGCCUUUGUUAAAGCAGCAAUUCAUCUCUUCAGAAAGUUGUGAUCCCUUCCUGGAGCCUGGUAUGGCCGUGGAUGGUAGCUCACAGGAUUAAGUUUCAGAAAAUAGGCUUGGUUUUUCUACCAUGAAGGGAAUAAAUUCAGUUCCUAUAAGUGUAGCAAUUAAUGGGCACCCAUGGCCAUCCCACUAUGAGGGGAAAGGGGCCAUUUUGUAAAAAAACAAUCCAGGGCUGGAACUCAGUUUGAAAAUGGUGUUAAGUUGUGCGUUUAAAAUGAGUGAUAAAACUCCCGUGUGUUGAAAGAAGGCCAUGAAACACUGCAACUCCUCCUUGCUUUGCAAAAGAGUAACAUCCACGCCAUUCACCUAGGAGUCUCCAAUGAUAUACCCUCCUCCCAUUACACUUAAGUGGCAAAAAGACCCCUGAUUACUGCAUGGUAACAGUGAUCAACAUGGUCACGCAGAAAAGCACUUUUUUUUUCCUUUCCUGGAAUGAACAGCGUGCUGCUUCUGGAACUGGAGGCUGCAUUUCUGUCACCCAAACCUCUCUCAGAGCUGUGUGUGUUGUGAGACAGCUGAAUGUCUCACUGAAUGUUUCCUGUGACAAUGAGGGUGCUUCAGAGCUUCCCACUGCUGCCACAACCUUUCCUUUGUGAUCUUCAUGGUUAAUGAGACUGUAAACCAGCAUCCAAAUCAGCAUUUGCUGAUUGAAAGCAGGUUUAAAGGGCGAAAGAAAAUGGUAGUGGUUUAAUGAUUAAACAACUUUUUACUGCUAAACAUUUAAGUUGUUUUAAUGUCUAAAUCAAUACACUUGCAGGAUGCAAACUGCAAUUAGGUGGAAACAGAACUUCACACUCUUGCAGUUAGAGAAAAACUUGCUACUAUCACUUUAAGUGUCAAACUUGUGAACUGGCCUUGAAAGCCUCUCCUCUGCCUCCCUCUCCCCACCUCCGAGGCAUUAAUUCUAUAGAGACGAAGUUAAACACUUAAUUUGCAAAACUACUGAGAAGUAAAUUUCUUGUUCCAAGGUAACUGGAGUAAUUGCCAAAUGCAGAUAAAUCCUCCCCCUGAGUAGGAAGCCCCACACUGUUUUGAAAACAAUUCCUAGACUUUGCCCCUGUUGAAGCUGAUUGAAUGCUCAACCACAAGACUCCACUGUUGUUAUCUCUCGCUUACUGCUUUUAGGGGCGGAGUUAACACUUUUCAAAAAUCCGAGCUUCCCUAAUAAAUACAGGGAUUUAGUGAAGAUUUUGAUUGUCUGGGGUUGGCAUUCCUGAGGACAGAAUAAUUUAUUUUGCUCUAAGCAGGUGUGUUAUGAGAACAGAGGCUAUGUUGAUAAGAGAUCCCUGGGAGCUGGUAAUAUAUUAUCUUCUGUAAUUUCUUCCAAAAAUAGACUUAAUGGAAAGAGGAUGCAUAAUAUACCCCCUCUCAAAGGAAGCGUUCCCCAAUACAACAGAAGCAGUCAUUCUAAAAACAGCUUUAUGGCUCUGCAGUCAAUAGCUCUAUUUUCUCCCCUUUCACAACUUCCUUCCUUCUGCUAUGUAAGAACUUAUGUGAGGGCACACACACAUUCACGUGUCAGUGCACACAACUGAAAAUGCCCGAGAUCCGCAUUCUCUCAAAGAUCUGCAAGAUCAUCGAAAACUUAAUGAUCGCUUGACAUGACUUAACCUGAUUAAUUGAUAGUGCUUUUCAUUUUAUUUCAUUUUUUACUCCAACUCUGAUCAUGUACAACCAUGAAUUAACCUUGCAUUUAAUUCAGUUCAGGGAGCAAUUUCCAAAUGCCUACUAUGUUUGAAGUGCCGUAUUAGACACAAAGAUAUACAGGAAACGAUGUUCACAAAAUAUAGGCUGUAAGCAGAACACUUCCCCAAAGAAAAAGAUGGCACCAAGAGCAGAAUCGGAACUCUGGUGUCCAAAUUGCUCCUAAUUAAACGCCUAAGCUGCAAGUCAGGUUACUUGGUCAGGCUAAGUUCUUGGAACUAAAAAUUGCCUAAGAUGUUUUCCUUAGCUACUUCACAAACUAGAAGUUCCUCCUGCUCAGGACCACCCAAAUGCUUAUUAGAAAUUGUCCAAAAGUCAAUUUUUUUCAAAUUUGGGACACGUUUGAGCGAACAAAAGAUAUGAAGAAUAGUUAGAGUCACACCUGGUGGCAAAAACUUAUAACCUAAAAUGUAGCAUCUUUACUUUAGAAAUUGUAGAAAAGAUACUUUUGAGCUACUCAAAAUUAAUUGAGUUUUUUUAUUUAUAAAAAUAUUUUAACAAUUCAGAAAGGAAUUUCACAUUUGAGGAAUACCAGGGUUUAAUAAAAGACAGUAGAUGGAAACUUUUAAGGAGGGUCUGCUUGGAAGCUUCUGGGCAUUUUCAAGGGCUGGAAAUUUCUUUAUUCUGUUAAAUUUUACCUCAGAACAUAUGGUUUCUCUCUUCUCUGAUAGUUUUAUUGCCAGCCCCACUCUAGAAAUAUGACAGAACGGCAGAAGAGGGAUGGAAGAAAAUAGGAAGACCUGUUCUGAAAGGCUGGGAGAGAGUUGGAAGGCCUCAGGAAGUUGCCAAAGACUUCACAAUUACUUUUUUUGUUUUUUUGGAGACGGAGUCUUGCUCUACUGCCAGGCUGGAGUGCAGUGGCAGGAUCUCGGCUCACUGCAACCGGUGCCUCCUGGGUUCAAGUGAUUCUCCUGUCUCAGCCUCCUGAGUAGGUGGGACUACAGGCACGCCCCACAACGCCCAGCUAAUUUUUGCGUUUUUAGUAGAGAUGGGUUUUCACCAUGUUGGCCAGGAUGGUCUCGAUCUCUUGACCUCAAGCCAUCCACCUGCCUCAGUCUCCCAAAGUGCUGGGAUUACAGGCGUGAGCCACUGUGCCUGGCCAACUUCAUAAUUACUGAUAUUUAGAGUGACUUCAGGGAUGUGUGUGUCUGUGUGUGUGUGUGUGUAGGGAGGUCUUGCGGUAGGCUGAGGCAACACAGAGGCAGAGGACAAUUGGUGAUUUGUAACCCCACAGCAUUUACAAAAUUUGAGUCCCUCUUCCAUAUUCAUUUUACAGCCCAGAAAUUAAUAACAUAUUUGAGAAGUUGGGACUAUCUUCAGAUACAGCAAAAAGAACAAUGGGAUUAGAAGUCAGAUGAAGAAAUAUUAAAAUAAUUUUAUAUUCUAAGUUGGUUCAUUUUAACUGGGCUUCAAUAACAUGAAGAAGAGUAGGAAGUGGGUAAAGCUUCCACUGCCCUGAAUAAGCCAAGACAAGAUGGACCUUCCCUACCCUAAGAGGAAUUUAAGUCACUAUUAAAUAGUAUCCUUCCCAAGGUGGGCUGGGGGUGGGUCAGAGAAUGACUUUCCUGGUUUUUUUGUUUGUUCUUUUGUUUUGUUUUGUUUUUUUGAGAUGGGGUUUUGCUCUUGUUGCCCAGGCUGGAGUGCAAUGGCGUGCUCUUGGCUCACUGCAACCUCCGCCCCGCCAGGUGCAAGCGAUUCUCUUACCUCAGCCCCCGAGUAGCUGGGAUUACAGGCAUGUGCCACCACACCCAGCUAAUUUUGUAUUUUUUAGUAGAGACGGGGUUUCUCCAUGUCGGUCAGGCUGGUCUCGAGCUCCCGACCCCAGGUGAUCCACUCGCCUCUGCCUCCCAAAGUGCUGGGAUUACAGGCAUGAGCUGCCGCACCCGGCGAGAAUGACUUUCUUACGGGUGAUAAAGUCUGGCAUCUCCAAUCAGAGCCCUAGAGCUCCCAUUUGAAGCCAGAAAAUGGCUCUUAUGUUGCUGUCCUACCAUACUCUUCUAGGUUCCCACAGGGUACAGGAGCCUACAGGAGCUUCCAUUAUUCACUAAGUUGUUUGAUCUUCAGCCUCAAAAUAUAUUUUGUUGGACUGGUCCAGUGCUGUAGCUGGCAAGGGGAGCUCACUACUGUACCAGCUUAGUCCCUGAAAGCCCAGGAACUGACAAUAGUCUGAAUGUAACACAGGGAAGCCCCUAGUGGGUGGUGAGUGUUCCUUCAUCAAAGAAACAUUCCACUUCCUCAUUCUCUCCCCUAACCCCCAGUCUUCAGAACAUCAUUUUAUAUAAAUCAUAAAAAUGGAGCUGCUCUCCUUUGGGAGUGGGAAAGGACCCAGAACCAUGUUCUUUUAUUUCUUGAGGGGUCUUCUUUAAGAAUAGCCAUAGGGAUUUUUUUUUCUUCUUUUUUUUACUUGAUUGGGCCCAAGUUUACCAACUAAAUUAGCAGGAGGACCACGCUGCCCUUCUUUGGGGCACAACAAUUGGUGGGGAUGAGCAGCUUCCCCUCGUUUCCAAUUGAAGAAACUAGGGAAAUGGUCAGGCAAUGAAGUUUCCCAAGGUUGGUGUAUUAGUCCAUUUUCAUGCUGCUGAUAAAGACAUACCCAAGACUGGGAAGAAAAAUGUUUAGUUGGACUUACAGUUCCACAUGGCUGGGGAGGCCUCAGAAUCAUGGUGGUAGGCGAAAGACACUUCUUACAUGGUGGUGGCAAGAGAAAAUGAGGAAGAGGCAAAAGCGGAAACUCCUGAAAAACCUAUCAGAUCUCAUAAGACUUAUUCACUAUCAUGAGAAUAGCACAGGAAAGACCGGCCCCCAUGAUUCAAUUAUCUCCCCUGGGUCCUUCUCACAACACAUGGAAAUUCUAGGAGCUACAAUUUGAGUUGACAUUGGGUGGGGACACAGCCAAACCAUAUCAUACUGCCCCUGGCCCCUCCAAAUCUCAUAUCUACACAUUUCAAAACCAAUCAUGCCUUCCCAACAGUCCCCCAAAGUCUUAGCUCAUUUCAGCAUUAACCCAAAAAUUCACAGUCCAAAGUCUAAUCUGAGACAAGGCAAGUCCCUUCUGUGUAUGAGCCUGUAAAAUUAAAAGCAAGCUAGUUACUUCCUAGAUACAAUGGGGGUACAGGUAUUGGGUAAAUACAGCCAUUCCAAAUGGGAGAAAUUGGCCAAAAUAAAGGGGUUACAGGGCCCAUGGAAGUCCGAAAUCCUGUGGGGCAGUCACAUUUUAAAGCUCCAAAGCGAUCUCCUUUGACUCCAGGUCUCACAUCCAGGUCAUACUGAUGUAAGAGGUUGGUUCCUACGGUCUUAGGCAGCUCCGCCCCUGUGGCUUUGCUGGGUACAGCCUCCCUCCCAGCUGCUUUCAUGGGCUGGUGUUGAGUGUCUGUGGCUUUUCCAGACACAUAGUGAAAGCUGUCAGUAGAUCUACCAUUCUGGGGCCUGGGGGAUGGUGACCCUCUUCUCACAGCUCCACUAGGCAGUGUCCCAGUUGGGACUCUGUGUGGGGGCUCCAACCCCACAUUUCCCUUCCCCAUGGCCCUACCAGAGGUUCUUCACGAGAGCCAUUCCCCUGCAGCAAACUUCUGCCUGGGCAUCCAGGUGUUUUCAUACAUCUUCUGAAAUCUAGGUGGAGGUUGGCAAACCUCAAUUCUUGACUUCCGUGCACCCACAGAUUCAACACCACUUGGAAGCUGCCAAGGCUUGGGUUUUCCACUCGCCAAAGCCACAGCCCAAGCUGUACGUUGGUUCCUUGCAGCCACAGCUGGAGCUGCUGGGACACAGGGCACCAAGUCCGUAGGCUGCACACAGCAUGGGGACCCUGGGCCUGGCCCACAAAACCACUUUUUCUCCUGGAUCUCCAGGCCUGUGAUGGGAGGGGCUGCCGUGAAGGUCUCUGACAUGGUCUGGAGACAUUUCCCCCAUGGUCUUGGGGAUUAACAUUAGGCUCCUUGCUACUUAUGCAAAUUUCUGCAGCUGGCUUGAAUUUCUCCUCAGAAAAUGAGAUUUUUUUCUUUUCUAUCACAUAGUCAGGCUGCAAAUCUUCCAAACUUUUAUGCUCUGCUUCCCUUAUAAAACUUAAUGCCUGCCGGGCGCAGUGGCUCACGCCUGUAAUCCCAGCACUUUGGGAGGCCAAGGCGGGCGGGUCAUGAGGUCAGGAGAUCGAGACCAUCGUGGCUAACAUGGUGAAACCCCGUCUCUACUAAAAAUAAAAAAAUUAGCCAGGCAUGGUGACGGGCACCUGUAGUCCCAGGCUGAGGCAGGAGAAUGGCGUGAACCCGGGAGGCGGAGCUUGCAGUGAGCCGAGAUCCUGCCACUGCACUCCAGCCUGGGUGACAGAGCAAGACUCCGUCUCAAAAAACAAAAACAAAAACAAAAACUGAAUGCCUUUAACAGUACCCAAGUCACCUCUUGAAUGCUUUGCUGCUUAGAAAUUUCUUCUGCAAGAUACUCUAAAUCAUCUCUCUCAAGUUCAAAGUUCCACAAAUCUCUAGGGCAGUGGCAAAAUGCCACCAGUCUCUUUGCUAAAAAUAUAACAAAAGUCACCUUUGUGCCAGUUCCCAACAAGGUCCUCAUCUCCAUCUGAGAACACCUCAACCUGGAUUUUAUUGUCCAUAUCACUAUCAGCACUUUGGGCAAAGCUAUUCAACAAGUCUCUAGGAAGUUCCAAACAUUCCCACAUUUUCCUGUCUUCUUGUGAGCCCUUCAAACUGUUCCAAUCUCUGCUUGUUGCCCAGUUCCAAAGUCGCUUCCACAUUUUCAGGUAGCUUUUCAGCAAUGCCCCACUCUCCUGGUACCAAUUUACUGUAUUAGUUAGUCUGUUUUCACGCUGCUGAUAAAGACAUACCUGAGACUGGGAAGAAAAAGAGGUUUAAUUGGACUUACAGUUCCACAUGGCUUGGGAGGCCCCAGAAUCAUAGCGGGAGGCGAACGGCACUUCUUACAUGGCAGUGGCAAGAGAAAAUGAGGAAGAAGCAAAAGUGGAAACCCCUGAUAAACCCAUCAGAUCUUGUGAGACUUAUUCACUAUCACGAGAAUAGCAUGGGAAAGACUGGCCCCCAUGAUUCAGUUACCUCCUGCUGAGUCCCUCCCCUAACACAUGGGAAUUCUGGGAGAUACAAUUCGAGUUGACAUUUGGGUGGGGACACAGGCAAACCAUAUCAGUUGGUAAUAGGAGAAUUGCACCUAAAAUACGCAUUCUAAACAAAUCUACAUGUUCCUUGUCUUUUUCUCUUUUUUUAUUCUAGAUUUUCUAUUAUAUUUUAGUAGGCCCUUGAUGUUUUUGAGGACUUGGCAAGCCCCCAGAUUCACAGUCUCUAAACUUAAGAAUCCAGGAAAUAGUUCACUCAGGUUUGGAGAUCUCUCCUGAAACUGUAUUACUAUCUAGAGGCAAGCGUUUCCUGUGCACAUCCUCAGACUGCAAGUUAACUCCUUUUCCAGCUUCUACCCCGGACUCAUCUCUCACUUCACGGCUAUUUUCACAAAGAACUCCCCCACCACUAAAAAAUGGUUUUGUUUCUUUAAAAGAGUUACUAUGUAAACUCAAAUUAGGAAACAAACAAGUCAUAUUGGGACUACCAGCUAUGUAUUGGCUCACUUCAUCCACAACUAAAUGAUUUUCUCCCAAACAUCAGCUUCCCGGAGCCAGAAUUCAACUUUGUGCACAAGAAAAGUGACAAAUUACUAAAUGUCAUGGACUUCAGAGUCCAUCUUUCGUCAUUAAAAACUGGUUGCCUGAGGCCCAAGGUGUUCUUUGUAAGAAGCUUUGAAUCCUUUGUGGAUUGAGGAAAAGCAGGAUAAUAUUAAAUAAGCCACAAAUAAACAGCAAAUCUGAACACCAUCUGGUGAAAAGAUUUGUUAUAUUAUGUGAUUCAUAUAGCUAUUCUGCCACCUAUUUGAUUCCACUGCAUGUCCUUCAGUGGUAUUGAUGGAUUCACAGACAUUGUAAUUCUUAUCAAUUUAAUGGCAAGUAAUAGAACAUGCUAUAUCUUCUCACGUGGUUCUCUUUAUCUGUCUUCCAGAGUGAGAAAAUGGCAGAUUUACAUAAAUGUUUAAGAAUUAUUGGAUUAGCCUUUGAAAUAACAUUACAUGAAUUUAACAUUUUUCUUAAAUUCUUAUUUCAUUGGCAAAAAUCUGCCCUGGCAUCACCUGCACUUACUACUAAAGCAUCUCUGCAUUCACCCACUGUUAUGAAAAUCAGGCAAGAGCAGAAUAGGAAAGUGGGUCCAAUGGGACUACUACCAUUUUUUUUUUAAAGUAGAUAUUUUGCUUAAUUUACUUUUGCUUUCUUUUGAGCCAAGAGCUCAUGGACUACUGCUGUAUUUUCAUUAGUGAUACGGUUUUAUGUAUCAUUUAACAAGUACACCAAAAUGCCAAAUGUAUAUGUUAGGGUGAGUAAUAAAGACUGGUUUUUCAGGGCGCCAGUCCAUAUUUUUUAUAGUGCUUUCUGUCUUCCAUUUUCAGGACUUAGCAAGUCUAUGCUGCGCAAUGUUCCCAAAGGGAUAUGGCUGUAAAAUGUGUGAGGUCUGAUAAAUGUUCUUAUCUGAUGUUUGCCCAUCUUCUGUGGGAAAAUUCUAUUAGAUGAAACAAGACUGUCUAGACCUCCCUUUUCUUUUUCAUCCUGCUGAGAGAUUUAUCAGAACCGUACCCCUUCCCUCCUACAGAAACAUUUUUUUACAUCUCAAGGUGCUUUGAAAAUUGUAGUCAGCCCACUGGUAUCUCCAGCUCUACAACAUCAUUCACCUCACUCCUAAAAAUAGGAAAUACUGCCAGGAAAUGGAUGCAAACAAUUCUUACGUAUUUAAUAAAAUAAGUAACAUUGUUACCUUUUCCAGCUAUUUCUCUGUUGCCCUUAUGGGAGCAUCUGUGGUAGAGCAUUAAAAAGUUACAUACAGAUGUCAUCCAUAAGACUAUUUUCAGACUCUCCAGCCUCCUGAAAUUUGUCAACACCAUUCAUCUUGAUCUUUACCAAAAUCUGAGUUUUGUUUCUUUUCUUAAAAGUUUGAGAAAAGUGCAUUCAGGUGUUUUUAAAGCAUAAGAAGGUGAAAAUUACAUUUUUGAUGUUUUCAAGGCCAUUUUUCUUAUUUAUGUCAUCACUGCAUACAAAGUGUCUGAAAAUAAAAAAGUUGAAAUUUUCCAAGCAUUCAACAUAAAAAAACUUACAGAUUAACUGUAGAACUAUUUCCCAGUUUCAAAAUUAAUUAAACGCCACCACCAAGUUUUCUCACCAGCCCUGCUUACAUUUCCUAUGUGCACAUCUCCCCUUUCUAACCAAGCUCCACUUCUCUUUAUAAGUCCUUCCAUCACAAAAUUAAAGGAACAUGUGAUUUCCCUCCAGAACGACACUGCCUUUAAUUCUUCUGCAAAUGCUGACAGGUACUCUUACGAAAAUGAAACCAAAAAGAGGUGAAGGAAGAGACAGAGAAGCAUAUUUCAAAUCAUUUUGACCCAUUUCUUCAUUUUGCUAAGAUUAGGAAGGACAUUUUGUGGAGCUAACUCAAAAGGCCAUUUCACAAGCACUUCACAAGGGCAUUUCACAAGAGGGUCUUUGAGAGAGAGGGCUUUGAGUAAAUUACUUAGAAAAUCCAAGUUUAAAAGCCUACUCUGAGUGAAGAAUGGAUGUUUUAGUUUGACUUAUCAAAACUGGAUGUUUUCACUGACUACAUUUCUAGAUAAUUCUUCACUUUUAUAAAUUACUGAAAACCUGCUUUCUUUCUCUCCACCUGUUAUCAAGAAUAAAGUAAAUGCUUGUAGAAUUGUAUUAGGUACUAAAGAGAUACACAAUAGUAGUUCUUGUCUUUACUAAGAAACUUAAAGUUUCAUCACAGACACAAGAUGAAUGUCAAAGAAACAACUAGAGAUACGAGCAAAGUAAGGGCCAAACCCACAGAUCUAGGGCUCCACAACUGCACACUCCAGGAAACUCCAGCCUUUUUCAGUUCUUACUGCUCUUUCCUUCCCCCUUCUGUCUCUUCCUUGUCCUUCUUUUUCUCAAUUCCUUUUCUCCCUUCUGCCUGUUUUAUGUGUUUGGCCUGUCAGUGAUGCUCACAGGCACUGUUGAGUACUCUGCUUUAUGAAAACGCCCAUGUUUCUAUAUCUGCUUACUUGCUUGAUUCAGUCAUUCCCUCAUUCCCUCCCUCAUUCGUUAAACCAACACUGUCUUAUAAAGCUCUGUGCUAGAGAGCAUGGAGGAAACAAUCCAGACCAGAUCCAGAUUAGGCCCUGGUUUCACCUCUCUGCAGUCCUAGCUUUUGUCAUUUGCUUUUAUGGAAGCUGUCAAACACCAUGGCUUCUUACUUAACUUCUUAGCGGCAAUCCCGUUCCAGGGAUCUGUGCUGCCUUCUCAACAUUCUCACGGCCUCAGUGGCAGGGACCUUAGGCCCUGGGACUCCUCAGAUAUUUCUGUCUGCUUUUUCUUCCUUCUUUUAACUUCUCCCCCUCCCUCCAUGCAUUACCACUUAGUGCCCCUGGGGUUCAGCCAGGGGCUCCUAGCCCAUCUUUUCCUUCUCUACUUAUUCCCUUAGUGCAGCCAUAAGGAUUCAAUUACCACCUAUACUCAGAUGAGCCCCAGAUUUCCAUCUUCAGCCCUGACACCUCUUCCUCUUUUCAGUCCCUUAUUUCUCAGUGUCUACAAAAUAUAUAGGCUAGACAUUUCAUUGCCAUCUAAAACAAACGUGUCAAAACCAGAUUUUAUUCUCUCUCCACCCAAAGGUGCCUCUGCGGGCUACCUCACAUAAGCGGCCCAAGUGCCGCUGCCCCAGCUGCCAAAGUCUACCUUCACCAGCUUCCUCUUUCUAUUUAUUGUCCGCUUUUCCCUGCAUCCUUCCCUCAAUUCUUCUACUAAGCCCUAGUAACUCUUUCUCUCUAUUAUUUUCCCAGACCCAAGCCUUCAAGGCUAUUUCCAUAGCCAAAGAACUCUUCUGGAUAUUAACUAUCUCAAAGUCAAAAAACAUAUAUUCAUACACUCAAAAAAGUAGUAAACAGGAAAAGCUUCUUGGGGCAUCCUGCACAUCCUAAGACUGAUCAGGAAUAGUUCCUGUCACGUGUUUUCUAGUGAUUUAUAAAGCAUUAAAAAAUGCUUCAAGCUGGAGUUAUAUGCGUAUUGUUUAAGCUUUUCUAUUUACUUAAUAGUUGUUUUUAUAUUAUGUUCCCAGAGAGGUACUGGCCUAGCAGACACAUUAGAAAUAAAUGCAGAAAAAUGCAGACAAGAUAAAUGUAACAAUGGAAUUUCAAGCAUAUCCAUCAAAAGACCUAUCUGCAGUCCAGUACAUCAUGCUGUCAGGAAAUUUUGCCUCUGGCUUAUCUUCAAGUUUUCCACUUCUUAAUCUUCAUCCCUUUUUACACACUUUUUUAUAUUAAAGUAUUCUUCUACCUCCUUGAGAUGAAUGUAAGAAUACCUAUCAGUUACUGAACAUGGAACCAGCUGCCUCAGACUUGCAGCUUCAUUGAUCACCAGAACCAAUUUGGUUGAGCCCUGGAAAAUGUAAUGGUCCACUGCACUCCCUUACUGUUCUGUGGGGGACUUGUUCAAAGUUGUGGGCCUAGUAUAAAAGGAUCUUCUUUUCUGGCAAGGAUGACAGCACGGUACUCCUCUUAGAACGACUGGACUCUCACCUCCUAGGAAGGUUAUUAGUGUGUAGAUUAUUUAAGACUGAUGGUCACCCAUUCCCCCUUUCCCUCCAGUACCCUGGGUUAGGUCAUUUGGAUGCUCAGUUAAGUCAUCUCUAGAGGCGUGGUAGAGAAGAGGGGGAAGCAACGUUAAUAUGAAUUAACUAUCUUGAUUUUGCCAAUUUGCUAUUACUAAGAAUCUGUUAAUAGAAUGUGGACAUUUUAAGCAAAAUCUAUUUGGGUUAAUACCCAAAUGUCCAAAAUUUAAACCCAAAGAGUAACUCCACAAAACAAAAAAAUGUAAGUCAAGGUAGGUAUUCAAAGGUGCAUCCAAAGAAAUAGCUGGAACUGGCAGAAGUCAUGGCAGCCCAUCUGAAGCUGGGAAUGAAAUGUUACUGACAAACUGCACAGAGGAUAAAAGACACAGGAAAAUACCAAUGGAAUGAGAAAGGAAAGUCAUGUGAUAUUACAUGGCACUGAAGAGACAGAGACAGUGAAUACUUUUUAAGCAUCUGUUUUAUGAAAUCAAACCACACCAUAGCCACACUGUGAUUUCUGCAAAA
rnacentral:lncRNA from 1 species